ACCUAGGUGGCUUAGUCGGUUGAGCAUCUGACUUCGGCUCAGAUCAUGAUCUCAUGGUUCAUGGGUUCAAGCCCCGCACCAGGCU
rnacentral:tRNA from 1 species